rnacentral:rRNA from 1 species
CAUCCUACGGGAGGCAGCAGUGGGGAAUCUUAGACAAUGGGCGCAAGCCUGAUCUAGCCAUGCCGCGUGAGUGAUGAAGGCCUUAGGGUCGUAAAGCUCUUUCGCCAGAGAUGAUAAUGACAGUAUCUGGUAAAGAAACCCCGGCUAACUCCGUGCCAGCAGCCGCGGUAAUACGGAGGGGGUUAGCGUUGUUCGGAAUUACUGGGCGUAAAGCGCGCGUAGGCGGACUAGUCAGUCAGAGGUGAAAUCCCAGGGCUCAACCCUGGAACUGCCUUUGAUACUGCUAGUCUUGAGUUCGAGAGAGGUGAGUGGAAUUCCGAGUGUAGAGGUGAAAUUCGUAGAUAUUCGGAGGAACACCAGUGGCGAAGGCGGCUCACUGGCUCGAUACUGACGCUGAGGUGCGAAAGUGUGGGGAGCAAACAGGAUUAGAUACCCUGGUAGUCCACACCGUAAACGAUGAAUGCCAGUCGUCGGCAAGCAUGCUUGUCGGGACACACCUAACGGAUUAAGCAUCCGCCGGGGAGACGGCCAGA